AAAUAUCAGUGGCUGAACUUCCAAUAGAGUUGUGAUAUACAAAGAGCACAGGCUCCCUUACAAAAUAUUAGUACUGACAAAUAUUAUCAUCUUAACAUACAAAAGAGUAAAUAUAGAGCUUAGAUUAUAAGAUUAAGAUAAAUCUCUUAUAAAAUUGCACUUGAAAAAAGACCCUCAGGGUUCUUUAAUCACUGUACAUUUUUUGGGGUUGAUCAGAUCUGAAGAAACUGAAGAGUAAAGUGGUAAUAUUCACAAGUAUAUGUUUGUGGAAGAAUUGUUGGUGAAAGUGCAUUUGGAUGUGCUUGUGUUCUGGUGGUUGUGGAGAAGAUUUAAGAUUUCUAGCAUUUUUAAACACCCAAACAGACCUUAUUGUACUGUAUUAGAUAGAUCUUCAGUUUUUUUUAUUGUUGGAUAAACUAUAGAGUAGUGAGUUGAAUCUGUUAUUUUUAAAUUUAGAAAUGGAGACACUUAUUGUUGCUCGACAUAAGAAUCAUUACUAUGAUAGAACAAGGGGUGAAGUUCCGGGUCGAUUCGGGUCAUUCGGGUCGGGUUUUAAGGAGAUAAAUUGUAGGACUUUUGAGUCGGGUGUGGGUUUACUACCAACCCCAUUAAGGUCUUGUUCAACAGCAGUGACUAAAAAGACUGGUGAAGUUCCAAAAAAGUCGAAAAAAUCGACCCUUAGUAGUGUGAUUUCGAUACCAAUUAACAUAAAAAAUGGUGCUGAUUCGAUAAAGAAUGAGUCUUUGAAUGAUGAAUUUGCUUAUUCUGAACUUUGGGCUGGUCCAGCUUACUCAAACUCACCUCCACCUAGUUCAUUACCAAUCCCCAAAUUUUCCGUUAAGCCGAAAAGGACGGUUUCACUUGAAUUGCCUAGUUCACCAUCUGAUAUUGAUUUGCCAACUUUUGCUAAAUCUGCACCUGCAUCACCAACCCGGGAGCGGAGCUCGUCUCCGGGACUUGACAGUACUGACUCUGCGACACAGACUCUUCGUCGCAUUCUCAAUCUUGAAAUUAUGGAUUGAUGAAUGUUUGGUGAGGGGGUAGUGAAGAAUAAAUAAGGCAGUUAUCUAGUUUGCAAGUUAGUUGGUUUUUAGUAGAUUGUAUAUAGGUGAAUAAAUCAAUCUUUAGAUUGACUUGGUAGUAGUUGCUUAGGUUUUGUUGUGGUGGAGAGCAGCUUUGGUUCAACGGUGGAAGGUCUACAAUAGUAGUUGUUAUAGUGGGUUGGUUAAGGUUGUAAGAGAUGAGCAAUGGCAGGUUGAUCAACAUUUCCGGGUAGUCUUCCGUGCGGACGCGGUUAAAUUCAGUAGUGGUUCAACGACAUGGAGGUGUGUUCGAGGGGUGGUCAAUGGACAGAAGAAAUUAUUGCAGUAUUUGGUUUAUUGGCAGUUCUUUGCUGAGCCUGCAGGACUGGUUGCUCAAUGAUCUUUGAUGCUCUUGCAGAUCAUCACAUUAACUAUGAUGUCGAAUUCUCGUUCUUGAUUAUACUCUUCUUAAUAGGUUGUUCUUUCCUUGUUGUCUCUUCAUAAUCAGUUAGCUUUUAAGUUGGUCAAACAUAUUGUACAUAUACUAGAGCUCUGAUCAGAUUAGGUGGACAGCUUUUUUUCAGACUUUUGUUUUAUACACUGACCAAAUUCUUGGCCCUCUGACCUUGAAUUUAGGAUCCUUCCUUAUUUCUUUCCAAUUCAAUAUCAAAAACCUCUACUGUAUAGAGUAUUAAGUACCUCUUACUCCUUACAAAUCCAUUAUGCCUGAAUUGGCUGGUCAGUGUUCUUGUUGUUUGUUUUCCUUCCUAGGAUCUAACUCAUACUUUUUCCUCUUCAAAAGUUGUUUUCCCCUUCACCAUUUUCUGUUUUUUGGAAUGAAAAUUGGUAAGUGGGACGUAAAAGUUAGUUAUAUCCUUUUCUGUUCCUGCUCUUAGGUAAGUUGCCUAUUUUGAGCUUUCCUCCUAUGAAUGUAUUAGGUCUCUCCUAAGUGGUUGUUCCACUUGUUUCUCUCCUAAAAGUUCCAUUUUGCCUCUGGAGAUUGUUGAUCAUAGCUGGCUGUUGACAAGGGUCUUGUUCGGAGUUGGAAGAAGAAUGUUGAAGAGGCUGUUCUCCAUGUUUUCUAGUUGUUAGCGUUUUGUCUCGUAUCGUUGUGUCUUUAGUCGGGAUUUUCUCAUUACUUGCAAAACUGGUACUAUGCCAUGAUUAUCUAGUUAUGUUUUGAUCUUUAAUCUGUUAAGUUUACUUUUGCUGCUUUUGUAUGCUUGGUACUUUUGCCUGUGUAUGAAGUAUCAAUGUUACAAGGUUAGCCUUGUGAUAUAAACAGUGCUAGUUGCUUCUGUUAUUUUCAUUCCCAGAUUGUACCUUUUUAUGUAGUAGUGUAUUCCUAAGAUUUUUCCAAUUGAAUGAAGAAUAUUUCCUUUCA